UACAUUACUUUAAAUAUUAAGGCCCGGUCUUUUCACCUCCGAAUAAAUAUGCUCUUAUCUGGCAGUUAGCUAUCUGGAGGAUAAAUAUUUAUUCGCCAGAUAAAAUGUACCCGUCUUUUCACGUCAAUUUAUGUUCCAGUUAGUUAUCCGGUAGAUAAGCUUAAAACUUUAACUUAACCUAACAUAAUUAGAUUCAAAGUAUUUCAAAGAUGAUUUUAUCGAUUUUAUUUCCAUUUUGGAAAAAGGAAUGAAGGAAAUAAGGAAAACAUUGAUUAUGCUGAAAUAGUUUACUGGAGAGCUUGAACAAGAGGUAAAUCCAUUUUAAAUUAGAGGAAAACUGUUGAUUUGUAUGUAAAAUAGAAGACAAAGACAAGUUUAAAUAAAGACAAGCUAGCUAAUGAAACAGAUGCAGUGAUAUGACAAACACCUAGAAGAUGGAAUCCUGUGUUCUCAAAGAAAAAGCUAGUUCCAGAAAUAAGCUACCAAUAAUAAACUAGAGAAUGUAUUACAAGAAAGAACAACGCUAAUACCCAACAUAGCUCAAUUGCUUCAGAUAGAAAAAGAGGAGGAAAGGGUAGAACACAAGCGUGCCAGAGAAAAUUAAAGGGCAGAAGAGACACAAAAAUUCAUUGAUUUAUUAAAUUUAAUAAUUAAAUUAUACAAAGGACAAUUAAAUAAAGAAUAAAAAAUUA
rnacentral:lncRNA from 1 species